UGUUUGUGUUAGGAUGAGGUGAAGCCUGCCUGCACCACGUACCUGACCCUUUACUGAUGCUGCUUGUGAUCAAUUACUUUGGCUGAAAAUGGUCACUGCUAGUGAAUGAAACUUUGCAAGGUGCACUGCAGGUAGCACUCACAGCAAUACUUCAAAUGUUUCCAGCUUCUUUGCAGGAGGAGCAACUACUAACAUGGGCUGAGCAAUGGGUUCACCCACAGCUGCAGAUGGAGCUUCAGUGAAGGCAUGCAACAAAAUGAUGCAGUUGAGAUGCUCUUACUGGUACAAUUCAUAAAUGUUCCUGUAUAAUGCUGAUGGCCAACGACUCCAUUACUCAAUCUGUUAUGACCAGGCUAUAUGUACAAGACAGACAGUCAGAAAGGCAGCAUAUAACCAUGAAAAACAUGAAGAGCAAGGAAAAGUACUAGCACUGAAGGGGCAGAGCUGGACAAUGCAGUCAAUCGUCAAAGCCAAGUGAGGUGUCUAAGACAAGCAAUGUUUACCUAAUUCACUACAAAAUGAAGAUAUAAGAUGCAACCUCAAAGACCAUGCAAAGUACUGUCCAGUUGGUUAGGGACUGAAGGGAUUCUCUUUCCUUACAUGUUUAAAUGUGCCCAGGUGAGUCCUAUGCCUACAAGCUGAGUCCUGCUGUUUCUCAACUAAUCAUUUGAAAAAUCAGGGGGGGGAGUAAAAAAAAAAAAAAAGGUAGAAUAGAAAAUAAAAAUAAAAAUAAAGGCUUCUGGUAGGUGAGCCACAGCAGGGCAAUUAAGAUGAUAUGGCAGAGGUAGACAUCUGCUCCUAGACAGAUACAGUUCCACUGAUGCUAUCUAUAGCUACAAUCCUUCCGAGAGAUAAACAACAUGCGAGAGCAACGUGCAGAAGGAAAUGCCACACUGAGAAAGUGGUGAUCGUGUGGCCCCUGUGGUCUGAGAAAGAGAGAGAGACAGCAAAAGAAAAAGGGAGGGGUGGCAUGUGGGGCCUGUGCCAGGCACACACAGGUGACAGAAGUCACAGGACAGACGUGCAUCAAGAUGCAAAGCUGGGAAAUGUAUGAGAACUGACAUUGGAGGGGAGCAGAAUUACAGCAAAGAUGAAAGGCACAACAUGACCAAGAAAGGGAGGUGGAAACCUCCUCUCUAAGCUCUAUGCGUAAAGUUACAGUUAAUCUAUGCCAAAAUAAAAUAAAAAAAACUCCACCAAAAUUAUUAGUGGAUGAUUUAUACUCUCUGAUUUGGAGACUUGGAGGGCUGCACAGAAUUUCAAACUCACAUUUAGGUUCCUCACUAACAAACUUAAUCUGAACUAUGCUGCCCAAAGUAGAUUAUUGCUAUCUUGUAUUACUGUUACAAUGAUUUUCAGACACAGCAGAAGCAGUAUUCCCUCUUUCCCUUGAUGUCAGGCACAGCCAAAUCCUAAAGGAGGAUGUGGUGUCUGCUCCAAAUAACCUUCAAGACAAGGACUGACCCUGUUUAAUUUAGGCAGGACUUGAGGCAACAGUACGCUCCACAACACUAUGAGAUAGGAGUUUUCUAAAGGUAAGGCAUGUCGCCUCUGCUCAUCACUGGCCAUGCCACCGACUCCUCAGUUUAUUUGCCCCUCAGUUCCUUGCAAGGAGAAUUUGGUUGGUCUCCUCUGAUGCCAGGAGUUCCAUGUCCCACCAAAACUAAGGAAGCAUCCUUCUUUCCUCCAGCUUUCCUACCAGAAAGAAGUCUUAGCAUUCAUUUGACUUAAGAUAUUCUGCCACUUUAAGAAACUCUCUGGAAAACUCACAGCAAGAAUUUGAGGCCAAGUGGUUUGCAGAGAUCACUGGCCAGAAACAUCAGGAAUGCCCUGCUGAGGACAGGACCUCUGCCUUGCAUGGUGUGCUGUCUUCUGCUUCUGGGGUGGACAUGGGGCUUGGCUGACAUCAACAGAAGCUGAAAAACUGAAAAAACAAAGUGUCAUCCUAUCUUGUGUUGGAAUCUCCAACCAAUAAUUAUGAGUUUUCAUAAUGUAUGUUAUAAUAAUUAUUCAGCCUGAUUACACACCAUGGUCUCAUUCUGUGAAAAAAGUAUUUCUUUUCUCUGCCUGGGAAGAAGAUAGAAAUAUCAAACUAAAGAGCUUAAUGUAAAAUCAGAGUGGAGUGAAUUUCAAAUCCUCAUGAAACCUUGUGCUUUGGUGAUUUUUUUAAAUUGCUACUCCUGAAAACUGUUCGUCAGAAAAACCUAAGUUUGAAAUUUUCUGUUUAUCUGAAGAAAGUAGAGCUGGACUUCAUGUCUUUAAUGAGCAAUUCACCUGAGGCCAGAUUCUGCUAUCCUGAGUCGGUUCAUACCCGAGCAAGGGUGAUGGAUUUAGAUACUUUUUUCCCCUGGAUGCUCAUAAACUGAUUGCAUUUCUCUCCAGCAUAUUCAUUACUGAAAAUUGUGCAAUAAGGCUUUCUGUUAGUUUAACUUCACUUUUCUCUUCCUUAUUCUACACAGAAUAAGCUUGAACAAUUGAGUGAUGCAGCUGUUGGUUGUUGGUUACUUAUUCAUUGGGUUUGGGUUUUUUUUAGAUUGUUGCAUGUCCCUUUCAUUCUGCUUCUUUUAAAUUGCACAUUCACACAUGCAAGCAUCAACAUCUCUUCUGAGACAUGUAUGCUGGAAAAACUCAAUCCUGUGAAUGCUUACAGGAAGUGAAAAAAGCACAAAGUGUAGAGUUCUAGUGUACAUGACUCAAUGAGCUUCAUUUUUAACUGUAAGUGUAAAACCAGGUCAAUGCUUUAUUAAAAUUCAUCUACGUCUACAUUAAAAUAUCAAAACAUGAACACUAUCAGCAAGAAACAAAAUUCUUCUACUAAUGUGUGUUAUUAAUGUAUAUUUCUGCUACGACCAUACAAUUAAUUCUGCAUAUUCUGUACAUAAUUCGGUUAUCUGGAGGCAGUCAAAAAAGGUUUGAUCCUUCGAGUUAUAAAAAAAAGUUAUCAUUUCGGAGAAUGUGGAUUUCCUCUUUUGGAAAAUCUACAACAACCACCUAUCUGCAGAGAAUGUCAGUUCCUAAGUUAGCAUCCCUAAUGGUCAUCAGAGUAUAAUAUUUCCUGGACGUUACAGGUGAUAAUGUAGCUUUGUUGUUCCCGUCUAUUAACUCUUGGGGAAAUCUGACAGCUGUGGAAUGCAUUCUGUGUGCUUAAUCCUGCAAUAUAUACUUGAUUGGUAACUAUAUUGAUUUUAUUACUCUGUGCUCCUGCUGUUCCACCUUUUUUUCUUUUAAAGAGCAAACUGAAAUGUCUGGGGUUUGUGACAAGUUUUGAGUUUUAGUAUAGCAAAGGAACACCAUGCCUUUUGUGUUUCUUAACGCGGAAAUAGAUCUGAUAAAAAAUUUCACACCAGUAACUUCAGAAAAAUAUUUUUAAACAUAAUUUUGUGUAUUUUGCAUUGUUUGAUUCUAACCCACUGUGCUACUUUCAGGCAGCAGAUUGUCAUUAUGACUGUACUUUGCUUUUUCCCUGGCAUCUAUGACUUGAGUGUCCCUCCCCCAUCCCAGCUUUGCUUUGCAAGCUUUUUCAUCUUUUCUACCUUGCUGGAGGCAUUAUUAGGGCAUUUCACCUUUGACCAAAUGGGCAGACGAACAUCCAUCCUCUGGAGCCAGUACUAGUGCUGUUUGGUAGAUCAGCUCUCACAUGGUACUGAACUGUGACCUCUUCUUCUGUUCAAAGACUAAAUACAUAAACUUGAGUUUCCAUUGGUGCCAAGCCUGGGAACCUGAGUUGCUCCCUAAUCCCAGGUCUCACAGCCAGCAGCACAAUGGGCAGCUCACCAUGCCAGCCAGCCAGCCUGAAAGAAUGUCUUUAUUCUCUCUUCCUCAACAAAUUGCUUAUUGUUUGGCCCACAGGGUGCUAGACCUUGUGAACUGUCCAAAACUUUAUUUCUUUUCUGUUAAAAUUUCUUCUUUUUUUUUCCUUUGAUUUUCUUUAUAAAUAAAAUUAAUUUCUAUUCUCAUUUUUUAGUAAUAUAAUUUUAAAAGAUGGCUGCUACUUUUCAUCUUUUUUCAGAGUAUAUCUGCCUUUUGGAAGCCUGCAGGAACCACAGAAAUGAUACAAGCCCUGCAGGUUUAGACGCCUUAGAAUGAAGAGUCUGUGGAAAUGUUAAGUGCUACUGUAAUGCAGUGCUCAAUAUUACUUAAAGAAAAACAGAGGCAAGUGCUCAGGGGCAUUCCUGAAUUUCCAAAGAUGCAUACCACCUCCCUGCUUUUGGCCUCAUCUUCACUGUGGCUACAGUGUGCCCACUGUACAAACCAAAAGUGUAGGGCAGGAUACGUACCUUGGGGCCCUACAUUUUGGAGUUGUUCAGGGGUAGUUGUCUUCAGAGGAAGUUAAAGCAGGCUGCCUAGGCUAGUCUGUUAUUUAUGUCUUGAGCUAUUUCUGGAAGCACCUUUUGUCUUCAGUAAAUCGUGGACACAGUUGCAGGACAAUUGUACAAGUCAGAGCUAGGCAGAGUAUCAGCGAGGUAAGGUGGAUUUUGCAAUAUUCAGCCAGAUUUACCCGGGGAAAAGAAGAGCUCCACAGCUGAGACACCACCACAUGAAGAGGGGAAUCGUGCUCCAUAAAUACAGCUAAAACCAACACAGGACCCAGGACACCCCUAUUUUUUUCCCUCAUCCCCCUCAUCUCAGUAAUCCUGUGUUGAGACAUGUUCACAUGUUCAGUGCGGAACCUUGUCCCUGUUUGGAGAUAGGGAACUGGGACAGGAAUAUCCUUGUAAACAGCAAGAUAGGUUCUGAUCACCUGGAGAGUGACAGUUAAGAUCAGUUUAAACACUCAUGCAUUUCUCAACCAGUUCUUGCCCACACUGCUUAGGAAAGGUGACAAAAUUACCAGCUUUCUGGAGCCAUACAUGAUCUAAGAAUCACACAAAUUUCUUGAAAGUAUAUGCAUGCACGUGUGUGUGUGUAUGUGUGUGCUUAUAUAUAUAUAUAUAUAUAU